UAUAAAAGUAGCUAUGGAGUGUACCGUGUCUACUGCUAGAUCUCGAUCUUUAAACAAGACCGUACGACAUGAGGUGCAAAGAUAAGAAUACCUGACCCUUCCCACUAACCCGCAACGAUAAAAAUAACUUAAAUACGCACCACAAGCUGGUCGUCGUCAUUGGAAGAUUUUCGUAUAAUAUUUUGUUUGUUUAGUCGCGGAUAGCAUAAAGUGCGGAAAACCGUGUAGGUACUCGCAUCGUUUAUUGUGUUCUCCGCACGUCCGAGUAUAAAAUAACAGAAUAAUGUUCACCAAAAACGUGUCCUCCGGGGCCUGUGUACACAAAUGUACUUCGGCGCACGCACUUAUAUUACGAUACAUAAUAUUACACUCGACGGCGACAUUCGGUGUGUAUUUUUUGUUAUUUUGUUUUCGUUAAUCUCGUGGUAUUUAUUUGAACACGCGGAUGCUUUUUGCGCGAAAACAAAAUACAGCCGAUAAUAAUAAACACGCGUCCGUCACUUUAAAUGUAUUCGGUUUUUUCGUUUGUUUUUCCGAAAUAUCCAUGUACUAUAAUAUAGGUGUAGGUGUACGCGUUGUGGUCACGAAAACGGUACAAAAUAAACUACCGCGGUUUACCUGAUAAUGGUGACCCGCGAGAUAAAUGAUACCCGCGCGGGAUAAUAGUAUACAUUAUUAUAUUAUUAGACAAUGCGU